rnacentral:snRNA from 1 species
ACAAUCAGAAGGAGUGUUGAU